rnacentral:rRNA from 1 species
AACGAACGCUGGCGGCAGGCUUAACACAUGCAAGUCGAACGCCCCGCAAGGGGAGUGGCAGACGGGUGAGUAACGCGUGGGAACAUACCCUUUCCUGCGGAAUAGCUCUGGGAAACUGGAAUUAAUACCGCAUACGCCCUACGGGGGGAAGAUUUAUCGGGGAAGGAUUGGCCCGCGUUGGAUUAGCUAGUUGGUGGGGUAAAGGCCUACCAAGGCGACGAUCCAUAGCUGGUCUGAGAGGAUGAUCAGCCACAUUGGGACUGAGACACGGCCCAAACUCAUAGGGGGGGCUGCAGUGGGGAAUAUUGGACAAUGGGCGCAGGCCUGAUCCAGCCAUGCCGCGUGAGUGAUGAAGGCCUUAGGGUUGUAAAGCUCUUUCACCGAUGAAGAUAAUGACGGUAGUCGGAGAAGAAGCCCCGGCUAACUUCGUGCCAGCCGCCGCCGUAACAC